rnacentral:rRNA from 1 species
CGACGCAACGCCGCGUGGAGGAUGAAGACCUUCGGGUCGUAAACUCCUUUCGAUCGAGACGAAUGGCCUCCGGGUGAACACUCCGGAGGAGUGACGGUACCGAGAGAAGAAGCCCCGGCUAACUCCGUGCCAGCAGCCGCGGUAAUACGGGGGGGGCAAGCGUUGUUCGGAAUUACUGGGCGUAAAGGGCUCGUAGGCGGCCAACUAAGCCAGACGUGAAAUCCCUCGGCUUAACCGGGGAACUGCAUCUGAUACUGGAUGGCUUGAGAUCGGGAGAGGGAUGCGGAAUUCCAGGUGUAGCGGUGAAAUGCGUAGAUAUCUGGAGGAACACCGGUGGCGAAGGCGGCAUCCUGGACCGACACUGACGCUGAUGAGCGAAAGCCAGGGGAGCAAACGGGAUUAGAUACCCCGGUAGUCCUGGCCCUAAACGAUGAAUGCUUGGUGUGGCGGGUAUCGAUCCCUGCCGUGCCGAAGCUAACGCAUU